rnacentral:lncRNA from 1 species
GGAAAUAUUAUUGGGGCUAUCUAAUCCCUGAUGAAUUCUUAUAUUAUGAAAAUGUUCCCUGAUCUUAACGUUACACAAAUGUUUUGUCAGUCUAAUUGGAUUAUAAUCUGCAUGGUUCUGUUUUUCUCUACUAUUUUUUUAUAUUCUGCCUGUUGGGAAUCAAUGAGAUAUUGUGUAUGGUGCCAUGAUUCAAUUUCUACCGAU